AAGUCGUAACAAGGUUUCCGUAGGUGAACCUGCGGAAGGAUCAUUACCUUUCAAUGCAGCAGAAUGGGGAUGGUUGGGUUUCUCGCCUCUCUGUUCUGCCUGUAUUCUACCCUUGUUUGUCAUAUACUAUUAUUUCCUCGGCAGGCUUGCUUGCCGAGUGAAACCAAUUAUAACCUAUUUAAUUUUCAAUCAGCGUCUGAACAAAAUUAAUAAUUACAACUUUCAACAACGGAUCUCUUGGUUCUG
rnacentral:misc_RNA from 1 species